GACGAACGCUGGCGGCGUGCUUAACACAUGCAAGUCGAACGGAAAGGCCCUUCGGGGUACUCGAGUGGCGAACGGGUGAGUAACACGUGGGUGAUCUGCCCUGCACUUUGGGAUAAGCCUGGGAAACUGGGUCUAAUACCGGAUAGGACCACGCGCUUCAUGGUGUGUGGUGGAAAGCUUUUGUGGUGUGGGAUGGGCCCGCGGCCUAUCAGCUUGUUGGUGGGGUAAUGGCCUACCAAGGCGACGACGGGUAGCCGGCCUGAGAGGGUGACCGGCCACACUGGGACUGAGAUACGGCCCAGACUCCUACGGGAGGCAGCAGUGGGGAAUAUUGCACAAUGGGCGCAAGCCUGAUGCAGCGACGCCGCGUGAGGGAUGACGGCCUUCGGGUUGUAAACCUCUUUCGCCAGGGACGAAGCGCAAGUGACGGUACCUGGAGAAGAAGGACCGGCCAACUACGUGCCAGCCGCCGCGGUAA
rnacentral:rRNA from 1 species